GACGUAAAGGAGGAAAUAUAUAUGUGGGACAGCAUGCUGCUACAUAAAAAUUGUGUUCCUGUGGAUCGUGGAUUGAUCGGCCUGACUCCUGCAACAAAAGAACAGUUUAAUCAUGUACUGUCCAAAUUAGUGGGAAAGAGAUACCCAUAGAAUUUUGAGUUUUUUUUGGUUCUCGGUACUUUAAAAAAUAAAAAAAUAAAAAAAUAUUU
rnacentral:lncRNA from 1 species